rnacentral:rRNA from 1 species
UACGGGGGGAGCAAGCGUUGUUCGGAUUUACUGGGCGUAAAGGGCGCGUAGGCGGCCACCGCAAGUCGACUGUGAAAUCUCCGGGCUUAACCCGGAAAGGUCAACCGAUACUGCGGGGCUAGAGUGCAGAAGGGGCAACUGGAAUUCUCGGUGUAGCGGUGAAAUGCGUAGAUAUCGAGAGGAACACCUGCGGCGAAGGCGGGUUGCUGGGCUGACACUGACGCUGAGGCGCGAAAGCUAGGGGAGCGAACGGG